rnacentral:rRNA from 1 species
GAUGAACGCUGGCGGCGUGCCUAAUACAUGCAAGUCGAGCGAACAGACGAGGAGCUUGCUCCUCUGGCGUUAGCGGCGGACGGGUGAGUAACACGUGGAUAACCUACCUAUAAUACUGGGAUAACUUCGGGAAACCGGAGCUAAUACCGGAUAAUAUAUUGAACCGCAUGGUUCAAUAGUGAAAGACGGUUUUGCUGUCACUUAUAGAUGGAUCCGCGCCGCAUUAGCUAGUUGGUAAGGUAACGGCUUACCAAGGCAACGAUGCGUAGCCGACCUGAGAGGGUGAUCGGCCACACUGGAACUGAGACACGGUCCAGACUCCUACGGGAGGCAGCAGUAGGGAAUCUUCCGCAAUGGGCGAAAGCUUGACGGAGCAACGCCGCGUGAGUGAUGAAGGUCUUCGGAUCGUAAAACUCUGUUAUUAGGGAAGAACAAAUGUGUAAGUAACUAUGCACGUCUUGACGGUACCUAAUCAGAAAGCCACGGCUAACUACGUG